rnacentral:misc_RNA from 1 species
UUGCACACACCGCCCGUCACACCAUGGGAGCGGGUUCUGCCAGAAGUAGUUAGCCUAACCGCAAGGAGGGCGAUUACCACGGCAGGGUUCGUGACUGGGGUGAAGUCGUAACAAGGUAGCCGUAUCGGAAGGUGCGGCUGAAUCACCUCCUUUCUGGAAAUAGCACUCAAUUUCUUGCGUCCACACUUAUCGGCUGUCUUUGACGACAGAAAUUGAAACGUGACCGGCUUGACGUAACCGCAAGGCCAACGCCUGGUUGACGUGAUGAGCGGACCGCAGCGUUUCGUGAAUGCAUGGGUCUGUAGCUCAGUUGGUUAGAGCACCGUCUUGAUAAGGCGGGGGUCGUUGGUUCGAAUCCAACCAGACCCACCAAUCCAUUCCGUGGGGGUGUAGCUCAGCUGGGAGAGCACCUGCUUUGCAAGCAGGGGGUCAUCGGUUCGA